UACGUAGGGUGCAAUCGUUGUCCGGAAUUAUUGGGCGUAAAGAGCUCGUAGGCGGUUGUCGCGUCUGCCGUGAAAGUCCGGGCUCAACUCCGGAUCUGCGGUGGGUACGGGCAGACUUGAGUACUACAGGGGGGACUGGAAUUCUGGUGUAGCGGUGAAAUGCGCAGAUAUCAGGAGGAACACCGGUGGCGAAGGCGGGUCUCUGGGCCGAUGAUCCAUCGCUGAGGAGCGAAAGCGGUGGGAGAACAGGAUUAGAACCGU
rnacentral:rRNA from 1 species